CUGCCCAGUGAUUGUAUUUAACGGCCGCAGUACAAUGACUGUGCUAAGGUAGCAUAAUCAUUUGUCUCUUAAUUAGAGUCUAGUAUGAAAGGAUGUUUGGGGGUCAGCUGUCUUUUAAACAAUUUAUCUAAGUUAAUUAGAAGGUGAAAAUGCCUUCGGAUUACCAAUAAGACGAGAAGACCCUCAGAGUUAUUAUUUAAUACCUAUUUAGGUAUAUCAAUUUUUGUUGGGGCAACAGAUUUAGAAAUCUAACUGGAUUUUAUUAUGACUUUACAGGCAUUAAUUUAUAUGGAAGCAUUAACUACCUAAGGGAUAACAGCAUAAUUUAAUAAAGUUUAUGACCUCGAUGUUGGACUAGGAAAUGGCUCCAUUAGAUGUGGAGUUAAAUAGUUCUGUUCGA
rnacentral:rRNA from 1 species